CGGAAGCUAAAAAAAGGAUAAAUUUGGGAAUACUCUUCCCCGUGCCCGAAAGCUCGUUAGAUAAGUUGGGAAUACUCUUCCCCGUGCCCGAAAGCUCGUUUAUAAAGGAGAAACCUCUCAACUUUAUUAAUCAAAAUCAAUAUCAUAAACUAAAUUACAAAUUUUCCUAAAAGUCUCUAUUUAUAAUAAACCUUAAAACCCUAAUACUUGGAAUAUUCUAGAAUAAUAAUAAAUAAUUAGCUAAAGAUAAUAACUAAAGAUAUUUGAGAAUAUUUGGAAAUAUUUCAAAUAUCUCGCUGCAUCAGGUCUCGCCGGCCAAGAAAAGAUUCGUCCUCGAAUCUUGUAUCUGCGCUGCAUCAGCUCCCACCGGCCAAGAAAGAUUCGCCCUCGAAUCUUC
rnacentral:lncRNA from 1 species